CUUUAGCAACUUCCCCUGAAAAUUAGUUGGCAACACUGGUCCAAACGAUGGGCUAUCACGAUUUGCAUUUGCUUCUUUAGGCUACAGGAGAUCAUGGUCAUGCUGUCCUGUGACAUGAUGUGGAUUUAAUCAGACUCAAAACAGCUUUGAAACUCAUCCUGGACUGGUUCUUUAACAGCACCUGAGGGCGGGAGACAGCAGGUUAUGUGUCCAGGUCUUUCUCGCACACCUUCCUCGACCCCAUCACUCCCACCC